GAUGAACGCUGGCGGCGUGCCUAAUACAUGCAAGUCGAGCGAACAGACGAGGAGCUUGCUCCUCUGACGUUAGCGGCGGACGGGUGAGUAACACGUGGAUAACCUACCUAUAAGACUGGGAUAACUUCGGGAAACCGGAGCUAAUACCGGAUAACAUUUUGAACCGCAUGGUUCAACAGUGAAAGACGGUCUUGCUGUCACUUAUAGAUGGAUCCGCGCCGCAUUAGCUAGUUGGUAAGGUAACGGCUUAACAAGGCAACGAUGCAUAGCCGACCCGAAAGGGAGAUCGGCCAGACGGGAUCUGAGAAACGGUCCGGACACCUGGGGGAGGCGACGGUAGGGAAUCUUCCGCGAGGGGCGAAAGCCUAACGGAGCAACGCGGCGUAAGUCAAGAAGGUCUUCGGAUCGUAAAGCUCUGUUAUUAGGGAAGAACAAAUGUGUAAGUAACUGUGCACAUCUUGACGGUACCUAAUCAGAAAGCCACGGCUAACUACGUG
rnacentral:rRNA from 1 species